rnacentral:rRNA from 1 species
CGGGUCAACAGAGGGAUGCAAAACCGUGAGGUGGAGCGAACCCCUAAAAGCCGUCCCAGUUCAGAUCGCAGUCUGCAACCCGACUGCGUGAAGUCGGAAUCGCUAGUAAUCGCGGAUCAGCAUGCCGCGGUGAAUACGUUCCCGGGCCUUGUACACACCGCCCGUCACACCAUGAGAGUCGGGAACACCCGAAGUCCGUAGCCUAACCGCAAGGGGGGCACGGCCGAAGGUGGGCUCGAUAAUUGGGGUGAAGUCGUAACAAGGUAGC